rnacentral:rRNA from 1 species
CCUGGUUGAUCCUGCCAGUAGUCAUAUGCUUGUCUCAAAGAUUAAGCCAUGCAUGUCUCAGUACAGGCUGAAUUAAAGUGAAACCGCGAAUGGCUCAUUAAAUCAGUUAUGGUUUCUUAGAUCUAAUCCAAACUUACUUGGAUAACUGUGGUAAUUCUAGAGCUAAUACAUGCAAACGAAAUUCCUCUCAGAGAUGGGCGGAAUGCUUUUAUUAGAUCAAAACCAAUCGGUGGCGGAUGGCUCGCUGUCCGUCCAUCGUCUGUUUUGGUGACUCUGAAUAACUUUAAGCCGAUCGCAUGGUCAUCUAGCACCGGCGACGCAUCUUUCUAAUGUCUGCCUUAUCAACUGUCGAUGGUAGGUUCUGCGCCUACCAUGGUUGUAACGGGUAACGGGGAAUCAGGGUUCGAUUCCGGAGAGGGAGCCUGAGAAACAGCUACCACAUCCAAGGAAGGCAGCCGGCGCGCAAAUUACCCACUCCCGGCACGGGGAGGUAGUGACGAAAAAUAACGAUACGGGACUCAUCCGAGGCCCCGUAAUCGGAAUGAGUACACUUUAAAUCCUUUAACGAGGACCAAUUGGAGGGCAAGUCUGGUGCCAGCAGCCGCGGUAAUUCCAGCUCCAAUAGCGUAUAUUAAAGUUGUUGCGGUUAAAAAGCUCGUAGUUGGAUCUGUGUGUCACAGUGUCGGUUCACCGCUCGCGGUGUUUAACUGGCAUUAUGUGAUACGUCCUAUCGGUGGGCUUAGCUCCUCGCGGGCGGUCCAACUAAUCUCCCAUCGCGGUGCUCUUCAGUGAGUGUCGAGGUGGGCCGAUACGUUUACUUUGAACAAAUUAGAGUGCUUAAAGCAGGCUACCUUCGCCUGAAUACUUCGUGCAUGGAAUAAUGGAAUAGGACCUCGGUUCUAUUUUGUUGGUUUUCGUAGCCCCGAGGUAAUGAUUAAUAGGGACAGAUGGGGGCAUUCGUAUUGCGACGUUAGAGGUGAAAUUCUUGGAUCGUCGCAAGACGGACAGAAGCGAAAGCAUUUGCCAAAAAUGUUUUCAUUAAUCAAGNGGUAAUGAUUAAUAGGGACAGAUGGGGGCAUUCGUAUUGCGACGUUAGAGGUGAAAUUCUUGGAUCGUCGCAAGACGGACAGAAGCGAAAGCAUUUGCCAAAAAUGUUUUCAUUAAUCAAGAACGAAAUUUAGAGGUUCGAAGGCGAUCAGAUACCGCCCUAGUUCUAACCAUAAACGAUGCCAGCCAGCGAUCCGCCGAAGUUCUUCAGAUGACUCGGCGGGCAGCUUCCGGGAAACCAAAGCUUUUGGGUUCCGGUGGAAGUAUGGUUGCAAAGCUGAAACUUAAAGGAAUUGACGGAAGGGCACCACCAGGAGUGGAGCCUGCGGCUUAAUUUGACUCAACACGGGAAACCUCACCAGGCCCGGACACCGGAAGGAUUGACAGAAUGAUAGCUCUUUCUUGAUUCGGUGGGUGGUGGUGCAUGGCCGUUCUUAGUUGGUGGAGCGAUUUGUCUGGUUAAUUCCGAUAACGAACGAGACUCUAGCCUGCUAAAUAGACGUAACUUAUGGUAUCUAGAAGGCCCCCGGCUUCGGUCGGCGGGUUUUUACUACCAACGUACAGACAAAUCUUCUUAGAGGAACAGGCGGCUUCUAGCCGCACGAGAUUGAGCAAUAACAGGUCUGUGAUGCCCUUAGAUGUUCU